AAUUUGGGACAAUGGGGGAAACCCUGAUCCAGCCUUCCCGCGUGUAGGAGGAAGGCCUUCGGGGUGUAAAGUACUUUGGGCAGAGAAGAAAAGGAACCCCCUAAUACGAGGUACUGUUGACGGUAGCUGCAGAAGAGGCACCGGCGAACUACGUGCCAGCGGCCGCGGUACUACGUAGGGUGCAAGCGUGAAGCGGAAUUACUGGGCGUAAAGCGUGUGUAGGCGGUUCGGAAAGAAAGAUGUGAAAUCCCAGGGCUCAACCUUGGAACUGCAUUUUUAACUGCCGAGCUAGAGUAUGUCAGAGGGGGGUAGAAUUCCACGUGUAGCAGUGAAAUGCGUAGAUAUGUGGAGGAAUACCGAUGGCGAAGGCAGCCCCCUGGGAUAAUACUGACGCUCAGACACGAAAGCGUGGGGAGCAACCA
rnacentral:rRNA from 1 species